rnacentral:rRNA from 1 species
CCAAUAGCGUAUAUUAAAGUUGUUGCAGUUAAAAAGCUCGUAGUUGAAUUUUAGGCCUGACCGGACGGUCCGUCUCUGGCGAGUACUGUUCUGCUGUCGGGUCUAUCCUUCUGGUGAGCCGGUAUGCCCUUUAUUGGGUGUGUCGGGGAACCAGGACCAUUACCUUGAAAAAAUUAGAGUGUUUAAAGCGGGCUUUUGCUUGAAUAGAUUAGCAUGGAAUAAUAGAAUAGGACGUUGGUUCUAUUUUGUUGGUCUAGGACCACCGUAAUGAUUAAUAGGGAUAGUUGGGGGCAUUAGUAUUCAAUUGUCAGAGGUGAAAUUCUUGGAUUUAUUGAAGACUAACUACUGCGAAAGCAUUUGCCAAGGAUGUUUUCAUUAAUCAAGAACGAAAGUUAGGGGAUCGAAGACGAUCAGACACCGUCGUAGUCUUAACCAUAAACUAUGCCGACUAGGAAUCGGGCGACGUUAUUUUCAUGACUCGCUCGGCGCCUUAUG